rnacentral:rRNA from 1 species
GAUGAACGCUGGCGGCGUGCCUAAUACAUGCAAGUCGAGCGAAUGGAUUAAGAGCUUGCUCUUAUGAAGUUAGCGGCGGACGGGUGAGUAACACGUGGGUAACCUGCCCAUAAGACUGGGAUAACUCCGGGAAACCGGGGCUAAUACCGGAUAACAUUUUGAACCGCAUGGUUCGAAAUUGAAAGGCGGCUUCGGCUGUCACUUAUGGAUGGACCCGCGUCGCAUUAGCUAGUUGGUGAGGUAACGGCUCACCAAGGCAACGAUGCGUAGCCGACCUGGGAGGGGGCUCGGCCACACUGGGACUGAGACACGGCCCAGACUCCUACGGGAGGCAGCAGUAGGGAAGCUUCCGCAAUGGACGAAAGUCUGACGGAGCAACGCCGCGUGAGUGAUGAAGGCUUUCGGGUCGUAAAACUCUGUUGUUAGGGAAGAACAAGUGCUAGUUGAAUAAGCUGGCACCUUGACGGUACCUAACCAGAAAGCCACGGCUAACUACGUGCCAGCCGCCGCGGUAA